AGUGUGUCAUAUGCUAAAACGAGACAUCUUGUUUUGAUAUUAUAUUUACUAUCAUUCAGAUGUCACUCAAAUUUAAUUUCAGAAAUAGGUAUAAAAACAGCUUUUUUCAAGAUAUAUUUAUUACAGAAGAGUUGUCUUCUAAAUAACUACAACUAUGGGCUACAAACUUGUAUGUGUAAUUCUCGGAAUAUGCUUCAUAGCAUCUGUAUUCAAGUUGGAAGCGGCCGCCGAAAAAAAGAAAGCCAACUUCCAAGAACCUGCCUUAGCCCCAGAGACAUUUGCUCCCGAGGAAUUUGCCGAGGAAGAGCGAUUACAAAAAGAGAAAGAUGCUAAACGACUGAGAAAAUAACAAAACAGACGAAGCGCAUGAAAAUGAAGUGGAAAGCAUAUUGAAAAUUAGAAAUGUACAACAAUUUUGCUUGAAGUAAUGAAUAAUAUCAUAUGCCGAGUUUAAUAAACCAUUAUCUGCAAAUA